UAUUGGCAAGAUCACAGCCAGUGCGUCGAGGAGCCCGAUGACGGUUUGAUCUGCAUCUCGGACGGCGGUCCCGCAAACACUGGAGAGAGAGAGAGAGAUGGUUCGUCUCCAUAGAGGAGCGCGCCGCACCUGAGACGCGGGCUGGGCUCAGCUCCGGAAGCUGGGAUGUUGGAGAACACGCCACCGGGGACCCACCCCGUUCCGGACCCGGACGCGGAAGUGUGACUUGUCACAGUGGGAGCCACUUGCAGAGGUUUGGGCGAAAUGCCGGUCGCGGACUCUUCGCUGCCCAGGAACCCCUCCGCAGAAGGGAGGCGGCGCCGUACCUGCCGCCAGGUGGGGGCUGGCGUCACGUGACCCGGUCCCGAGCUCGGGGAGGCGCAGCAAUGCCGGGGACGCACUCGCG